GAAAACAUAUACGUAAUUCUCAUCUCCUUUACACAACUUUCUCUCUAAAACCUCAAUCUUCUCACUUCGAGAACUUACCCGAAUCUCAUAUUCUUCUUGAUCAGAGGUUGUUUUUGUAGUCACCGUGAAGAAUGCUACGAAACCCACUGUUUGAAAUCGUGCAUGGAAUAGUGGUUUCGUGGGAGGAAGCUGUGGAAAAAUGUGAACAUCUUUUUGGAGUAGAGAAACCCUAGCUAUCAGAGAGGCAUAAGGCAGCCUAGGGAAACAUCUUGGAAGCAUUCUGGAGCAUAAAGGGCUGUGUUUCAAAGAGGAUUGAGGGUUGUUGUUGAAGGUGUCAAGGGAGGUAUUGUUGACCAAGAAGAAGCUCUAAAAUUCUCAAGUUUUAGCAAGGAAAUCCAUGUUAGGGGAGCUACGGGUAGCGGGUAGUGGGUAAUUUAAUACCCGUUUCUUAACGGGUCGGGGUCGGGUAUCAUAUACCCGUACCCGCGGGUAUCCGCUACCUGUUAAGAAAAUGAAAUUACAUAUUUAUCCUUUUUAGGUUAUGAGAUAUUAGGUUGAUGCUGAAGUUCAUUUCUUUUUUUGGCUCAUUGCUGCCGUCCAAGUGCUCUGGGAUUGUCGAAGAGUUUUCUCGUGUUGCAUCUUUCGAAGGUUGUCCUCCAAUCCUUUAAAUUUCGGGUGAAGCUUCAAAAGGGAAUGUCUAAUCAAGAUACAUUUUUCCCUAUGGAUGAUGGCCAACAAGGAACAUUUGUAGAACUAAAUGCAAAUGUAGGAGAUUCAAAUCAAAAUGAUGUUCCUAUAGAUUCUAUUCCAGGAGAAACCGAAAGUUCAACUCCAACUGUUAAUUAAGAAGACUACUGUCAGAUGUUUGGAAUCACUUUAAGAGACAAAAGGUAGAUGGAAAAUAGAAAGCGAUAUGCAAUUAUUGCCCCAAAAGUCUUUUGGGUGACGCAAAGCAAGGUACAUCACAUUUGGGAAGCCAUUUCAAGAGUUGCAAGCUUCAGACAACACGGGACAUCAGACAAUCCUUUUUAAAAACUCAUAAAGAAGGUGGUGAAACUGUAGUUGUUGGAAACUAUGUUUUUAAUUAACAAACAGCUAGAGAUAUACUCCGUAAGAUGAUAAUUCUACAUGAGUAUCCAAUGUCAAUGGUUGAUCAUAUAGGCUUUAAAGAAUUUUGUGAUGCUGUUCAACCACUAUUCAAGGUGAUUUCUCGAAACACCUUAAAAAAGAUAUUAUGAAGGAUUAGAAUGUAGAAAAAGAGAAGAUGAAAUUAAUGUUGUCAAGGAUUCAAAGUCGAGUUGCAAUUACCACUGAUAUGUGGACUGCUACUAAUGAAAAUGAAGGCUACAUGACUAUAACAACUCAUUUUAUUGAUGAUUUAUGGAGGCUACAAAGUCGACUUAUGAGGUUUAUGUAUGUGCCUGUUCCUCAUACUAGUCAAGUUCUUGCUGAAUUGUUGGUUGAAUGCUUAAUGGAUUGGAAUCUAGAUAGAAAAGUUUCUACUUUGACAGUCGAUAAUUGCACUACGAAUGGUGCUAUGAUUGAUCGCAUUUUAGAUAAGCUCUCAAGUAGGUCUCUUAUUUUGGGUGGCCAACUAUUUCACAUGCGAUGUUGUGCACAUAUAUUGAAUUUGAUUGUGAAGGAUGGUUUGUCCAUAAUUGCUAAUGUCAUUGAAAAGGUUAGAGACAAUGCUAAUUUUUGGACAGCUACACCAAAAAGAGAAGAGAAAUUUAUAGAGACAGGUGCUCAAUUGAAUAUUCAAUUCAAAAGAAAAUUAGUUGUUGAUUGAAGAACUAGGUGGAAUUCUACAUUUUUAAUGCUUCAAGUAGCCAUACAAUACAAGGAAGUAUUUGAUCGUUUAUCACAACGAGAGAGUCAAUAUAAAGCUUUGCCCAAUACACAUGAUUGGCAAAUGGCAAAUGAAAUUUGUCAAAAUUUGGAAAUAUUUUAUGAUGUGACACUCUUGUUUUCUGGUACUUAUCCAACUGCGAACAUUUUUUUUCCAAAGGUAUGCCAAAUUAAGUUGGCUUUGAUGGAACGGCUUAACUCUUCCAAUUCUAUUAUUCAUCAAAUGACUGCAUCUAUGGUUUUAAAGUUUGUUAAGUAUUAGGGUGUGAUAAGUGGAGUGAUGGCUAUAGGUAUUGUGUUAGACCCCAGGUAUAAAAUUGAUUUGUUGGAUUACUUUUUCCCUCAGAUAUAUGGUGAUCAAUCUGAUUGUGAAAUUGAAAAGGUGAAGAUUCUUUUUAAGGACUUGGUAAGAGAGUAUGAAAUAAACAUGAAAGGUAAGAAGUUAGUUUCUUCAUGUCAAAAUCCAAACAUAACUAUAUGCCAAAGUGUUGAUGGAAGAAAAGAUGUUUGGAGGAGAGAUUUUGCAAAACAUCAGAUUGCAAAGAAAAGUGAACCAUCAAAUUAUAAGUUGGAACUUGACUAUUACUUGGAGGAACCGACACUACCUGAUUCAGAUGAAUAAUUUGACAUUUUAGUUUGGUGGAAGGCUAAUGGAUUAAAAUACCCAAUUUUUCAAAUGAUUGCAAGAGAUUUUCUAGCCAUUCUGAUCUCAACAGUUGCAUUUGAGUCUUCUUUUAGUACUGGUGGUCGAUUUCUUACUCCACAUCAUAGUAGAUUACAACCAGACACUUUAGAGGCAUUGAUGUGUGUUCAAGAUUGGCUAUGGACUAACAUAGAAGGUUCUUCAAAAUUGAAAGUGGACAAGAUGAAGCUUAAUACAAUACUAGAGGAGAUAAUUGAUGAUGAUGAAUCAAGUGGUCAACAUGAAGAUAUUGGAGAGGAAACAUAGAUCUUAGACUAUUAUUUUUAGAAGAAUUAUUUUUUAAAUUUCUUAUAUUUGGGAUGUAUGUUUUAGGUACUAUUAAUUUAAAUUUAUGUUUUAACUUUUAUUUAGUUGUUCAUUAACUUCUAUUUGGA